CUCAAAUUAUUAAUAGAUAUAGUCUUUAAACUUGAAGAAUUUGGCGGUGGUUUAGUCUUGUUAGAGGAACCUGUUUUUGGAUCGAUACACCACGUAUAAUUUUACUUGUUUUAUCAGUUUGUAUACCGUCAUUAUCAGAUAAUUUUAGAAAGAAGUAAUUAUUGAAAUCUUAGUUAUGAGAUUAAAUUAGAUCAAGGUGCAGCUUAUAAAUGAGUUAAAAUGGGUUACAAUAAGGCUUACUUAGACGGAGUAGUAAUAGGAAGAAUGUAUUAUAAAGGUGGAUUUAAUUGUAAUUGAAAUUUAAUAAGUUUAAAAAAUAUAAGCCCUAAGCCAU
rnacentral:rRNA from 1 species